UACCCGCAGCUCAAGUGGUGGUCAUUAUUAUUGGGCCUAAAGCGUCCGUAGCUGGCCUGUUAGAUGCCUGGGUAAAUCGAUGCGCUCAACGUAUCGAAUUCCGGGUAGACCGGCAGGCUCGAGACCGGGAGAGUGUAGGCUACUCGUGGGGUAGGGGUAAAAUCCUGUAAUCCUACGGGGAGGACCAGUGGCGAAGGCGCUACACUAGAACGGCUCUGACAGUGAGGGACGAAGCCCUGGGGCGCAAACCGG
rnacentral:rRNA from 1 species